rnacentral:rRNA from 1 species
UACGUAGGUGGCAAGCGUUGUCCGGAUUUACUGGGCGUAAAGAGCGCGCAGGCGGUCGUUCAAGUCGCGUGUGAAAGCCCCCGGCUCAACUGGGGAGGGUCACGCGAUACUGAUCGACUGGAAGGCAGGAGAGGGUAGUGGAAUUCCCGGUGUAGUGGUGAAAUGCGUAGAUAUCGGGAGGAACACCGGGUGGCGAAGGCGGUGGUCUGGGCCGGCACUGACGCUGAGGAGCGAAAGCGUGGGGAGCAAACAGGG